rnacentral:rRNA from 1 species
AACGAACGCUGGCGGCAUGCCUAACACAUGCAAGUCGAACGAAGCCUUCGGGCUUAGUGGCGCACGGGUGCGUAACGCGUGGGAAUCUGCCCUUGGGUUCGGAAUAACAGUUAGAAAUGACUGCUAAUACCGGAUGAUGACGAAAGUCCAAAGAUUUAUCGCCCAAGGAUGAGCCCGCGUAGGAUUAGGUAGUUGGUGGGGUAAAGGCUCACCAAGCCGACGAUCCUUAGCUGGUCUGAGAGGAUGAUCAGCCACACUGGGACUGAGACACGGCCCAGACUCCUACGGGAGGCAGCAGUGGGGAAUAUUGGACAAUGGGCGAAAGCCUGAUCCAGCAAUGCCGCGUGAGUGAUGAAGGCCUUAGGGUCGUAAAGCUCUUUUACCAGGGAUGAUAAUGACAGUACCUGGAGAAUAAGCUCCGGCUAACUCCGUGCCAGCCGCCGCCGUAAGAC